rnacentral:rRNA from 1 species
CCUACGGGAGGCAGCAGUGGGGAAUAUUGCACAAUGGGGGAAACCCUGAUGCAGCGACGCCGCGUGAGCGAUGAAGUAUUUCGGUAUGUAAAGCUCUAUCACCAGGGAAGAAAAUGACGGUACCUGACUAAGAAGCCCCGGCUAACUACGUGCCAGCAGCCCCGGUAAUACGUAGGGGGCAAGCGUUAUCCGGAUUUACUGGGUGUAAAGGGAGCGUAGACGGCGGUGCAAGCCAGAUGUGAAAGCCCGGGGCCCGACCCCGGGACUGCUCUUGGAACUGCGUGGCUGGAGUGGAGGAGGGGCAGGCGGAAUUCCUGGUGUAGCGGUGAAAUGCGUAGAUAUCAGGAGGAACACCGGUGGCGAAGGCGGCCUGCUGGACUGCAACUGACGUUGAGGCCCGAAAGCGUGGGGAGCAAACAGGAUUAGAUACCCUAGUAGUC